rnacentral:rRNA from 1 species
AUUGAACGCUGGCGGCAGGCCUAACACAUGCAAGUCGGGCGGAGAGGCGGACGGGAGAGCAAUGUAUGGGGAUCUGCCUGAUGGAGGGGGAUAACAACUGGAAACGGUAGCUAAUACCGUAUACCAUAAGCUGAACCCAUAUGGGAUUAGCUAGUAGGUGGGGUAAAGGCUCACCAAGGCGACGAUCCCUACCUGGUCUGAGAGGAGGAUCAGUCACACUGGAACUGAGACACGGUCCAGACUCCUACGGGAGGCAGCAGUGGGGAAUAUUGGACAAUGGGCGAAAGCCUGAUCCAGCCAUGCCGCGUGUGUGAAGAAGGUCUUCGGAUUGUAAAGCACUUUAAGUUGGGAGGCGUUACCAACAGAAUAAGCACCGGCUAACUUCGUGCCAGCAGCCGCGGUAAUAC